rnacentral:rRNA from 1 species
UGAACCUGCGGAGGGAUCAUUACACAAUAACAAGGCGGGCUGGACACCCCCCGCUGGGCACUGCUUCACGGCGUGCGCGGCGGGGCCGGCCCUGCUGAAUUAUUCACCCGUGUCUUUUGCGUACUUCUUGUUUCCUGGGUGGGCUCGCCCGCCCUCAGGACCAACCACAAACCUUUUGCAAUAGCAAUCAGCGUCAGUAACAACGUAAUUAAUUACAACUUUCAACAACGGAUCUCUUGGUUCUGGCAUCGAUGAAGAACGCAGCGAAAUGCGAUACGUAGUGUGAAUUGCAGAAUUCAGUGAAUCAUCGAAUCUUUGAACGCACAUUGCGCCCUUUGGUAUUCCAAAGGGCAUGCCUGUUCGAGCGUCAUUUGUACCCUCAAGCUUUGCUUGGUGUUGGGCGUCUUUUGUCUCCAGUUCGCUGGAGACUCGCCUUAAAGUCAUUGGCAGCCGGCCUACUGGUUUCGGAGCGCAGCACAAGUCGCGCUCUUCGCCAGCCAAGGUCAGCGUCCAGCAAGCCUUUUUUUCAACCUUUGACCUCGGAUCAGGUAGGGAUACCCG